rnacentral:rRNA from 1 species
GCGAGCGGCGGACGGGUGAGUAACACGUGGGUAACCUGCCCAAGAGACUGGGAUAACACCUGGAAACAGAUGCUAAUACCGGAUAACAACACUAGACGCAUGUCUAGAGUUUGAAAGAUGGUUCUGCUAUCACUCUUGGAUGGACCUGCGGUGCAUUAGCUAGUUGGUAAGGUAACGGCUUACCAAGGCAAUGAUGCAUAGCCGAGUUGAGAGACUGAUCGGCCACAUUGGGACUGAGACACGGCCCAAACUCCUACGGGAGGCAGCAGUAGGGAAUCUUCCACAAUGGACGAAAGUCUGAUGGAGCAACGCCGCGUGAGUGAAGAAGGGUUUCGGCUCGUAAAGCUCUGUUGGUAGUGAAGAAAGAUAGAGGUAGUAACUGGCCUUUAUUUGACGGUAAUUACUUAGAAAGUCACGGCUAACUACGUGCCAGCAGCCGCGGUAAUACGUAGGUGGCAAGCGUCGUCCGGAUUUAUUGGGCGUAAAGCGAGUGCAGGCGGUUCAAUAAGUCUGAUGUGAAAGCCUUCGGCUCAACCGGAGAAUUGCAUCAGAAACUGUUGAACUUGAGUGCAGAAGAGGAGAGUGGAACUCCAUGUGUAGCGGUGGAAUGCGUAGAUAUAUGGAAGAACACCAGUGGCGAAGGCGGCUCUCUGGUCUGCAACUGACGCUGAGGCUCGAAAGCAUGGGCAGCGAACAGGAUUAGAUACCCUGGUAGUCCAUGCCGUAAACG